rnacentral:tRNA from 1 species
CAAAGCAUAGCUUAAAACAAAGCAUCUAGCUUACACCUAGAAGAUAUCAUAUAAAAUGACUGCUUUGAG